rnacentral:rRNA from 1 species
GGGGAACCUACCUUCUAGCGGGGGAUAACACAUACCAUUGUGUGCUAAUACCGCAUAAUAGUAUUUGAUGCAUAUCAGAUAUUUGAAAGGCGCAAUUGCGUCACUAGAAGAUGGCCCCGCGGUGCAUUAGCUAGUUGGUGAGGUAAUGGCUCACCAAGGCAAUGAUGCAUAGCCGACCUGAGAGGGUGAUCGGCCACACUGGGACUGAGACACGGCCCAGACUCCUACGGGAGGCAGCAGUAGGGAAUCUUCGGCAAUGGACGCAAGUCUGACCGAGCAACGCCGCGUGAGUGAAGAAGGUUUUCGGAUCGUAAAACUCUGUUGUAAGAGAAGAACGUUGAUGAGAGUGGAAAGUUCAUCAAGUGACGGUAUCUUACCAGAAAGCCACGGCUAACUACGUGCCAGCAGCCGCGGUAAUACGUAGGUGGCAAGCGUUGUCCGGAUUUAUUGGGCGUAAAGCGAGCGCAGGCGGUUGAUUAAGUCUGAUGUGAAAGCCCCCGGCUCAACCGGGGAGGGUCAUUGGAAACUGGUCAACUUGAGUGCAGAAGAGGAGAGUGGAAUUCCAUGUGUAGCGGUGAAAUGCGUAGAUAUAUGGAGGAACACCAGUGGCGAAGGCGGCUCUCUGG